UAGACAGACACCGUGACCACAUGAAAUGCCAAUUUCCUGUGCUCAAAUACACACUCAGACUCACUCACACACAUGUCAAAGUCACCUCGACUUCUCGACGUGCUCUCCGGAUGUUUGGACUUGGAAAAUUGGUAAUUUUCUAGUACAUUUAUUUCUACAUGUCAACUAGUCAGUUGCUUGGCUCGAAACUCAGGACUCACUGGUAUCCUGGACAGAGCAUUUGCAGUUGGCAUGCCGAUGAUGGACAUGUGUGAGUGUGUGCCGCAGCCUCAAAUCCUGAAACUGAUGUGGCUGCGAGACUGAUGCUGAUAAGAGCGAUAUGGGCUCCGGAUGCUCCGGUUGUUGCCUGACCGGCUUUUAAGAGCCUCUUCACUGUCUUUCUAUCUCUAUCUCUAAUUCCAUGUGAAAAUUGCUUUCUAAAUAUGUUUUGGGUUGCACUAAUGUGACGGCAUUUAUUUCUCGGCAAACUUCAUUAUUGAUUGAGCCACUCUCGAAAACGCACGACACAAAAGGGUCAAGCAGAAGUGUGCUCACAUGUGAGGCAAUCUAUUUCUUAAAUUGGGUUGAGUUGGGAGGAGAGAAUUACUAAAUCAAGGGAUUAAAAUGUUAUAUAUGUGUAUAUUUGUUUAACGCCUCACGCUUUAUAUGCAAAUAUUGUUUUUAAUUCACUUAAAAUCAUCCAUGUAGUCACGUACUUAACAUCACACAAUUG